UACGUAGGGUGCGAGCGUUAAUCGGAAUUACUGGGCGUAAAGAGUGCGUAGGCGGUUCUCCAAGUCCGUUGUGAAAGCCCCGGGCUCAACCUGGGAAUGGCAGUGGAAACUAGGGACUUGAAUCUGGCAGAGGGGGUGGAAUGCCGCGUGUAGCAGUGAAUGCGUAGAGAUGCGGCGGAACACCGAUGGCGAAGGCGGCUCACUGGCCCGGUACUGACGCUGAGGUGCGAAAGCGUGGGGAGCAAACAGG
rnacentral:rRNA from 1 species